rnacentral:rRNA from 1 species
UGGGGAAUAUUGCACAAUGGAGGGAACUCUGAUGCAGCGACGCCGCGUGAGUGAUGAAGGAAUUCGUUUCGUAAAACUCUGUUCUAUGGGAAGAAAAGGACUGUACCAUAGGAGAAAGCUCCGGCUAAAUACGUGCCAGCAGCCGCGGUAAUACGUAUGGAGCGAGCGUUGUCCGGAAUUAUUGGGCGUAAAGGGUGCGCAGGCGGCUUUACAAGUUGGAUGUGAAAUAUUGUGGCUCAACCACAAACGUGCAUCCAAAACUGCAAAGCUUGGGUUAAGGAGAGGUAAGUGGAAUUCCUGGUGUAGCGGUGGAAUGCGUAGAUAUCAGGAGGAAUACCGGUGGCGAAGGCGACUUACUGGACUUAAACUGACACUCAGGCACGAAAGCGUGGGGAGCAAACAGG